rnacentral:rRNA from 1 species
UGGGGGAUAUUGCACAAUGGGCGAAAGCCUGAUGCAGCGACGCCGCGUGGGGGAUGAAGGCCUUCGGGUUGUAAACUUCUUUUGCUCUGAACAAGGCAUGCUAAUGGGUGUGUGGAGUGUAGGGGUUGAUUAGCGCCGGCUAACUACGUGCCAGCAGCCGCGGUAAUACGUAGGGCGCGAGCGUUGUCCGGAAUUAUUGGGCGUAAAGGGCUUGUAGGUGGCUGGUUGCGUCUGUCGUGAAAGCUCAUGGCUUAACUGUGGGUUUGCGGUGGGUACGGGCUGGCUUGAGUGCAGUAGGGGAGGCUGGAAUUCCUGGUGUAGCGGUGGAAUGCGCAGAUAUCAGGAGGAAUACCGGUGGCGAAGGCGGGUCUCUGGGCUGUUACUGACACUGAGGAGCGAAAGCAUGGGGAGCGAACAGG